UACGUAGGGAGCAAGCGUUGUCCGGAAUCAUUGGGCGUAAAGCGCGCGUAGGUGGCCCCAUAAGUCCGCUGUGAAAGUCAAAGGCUCAACCUUUGAAAGCCGGUGGAUACUGUGGGACUAGAGUACGGAAGAGGCGAGUGGGAUUCCUGGUGUAGCGGUGGAAUGCGCAGAUAUCAGGAGGAACACCAAUAGCGAAGGCAGCUCGCUGGGACGGUACUGACGCUAAGGCGCGAAAGCGUGGGGAGCGAACAGG
rnacentral:rRNA from 1 species